GCCAUCGAGCUGCCAUUUUAGAGAAACUUUAGUUAGGUUUUAUUUCCCUUCUCGUUCGUUUCUGAAGUAGCAAGCAGCCCGCAGCCGCCCCGGCCUCACUCCUCCUGUCUGCGCCAAUCCGCUAUUGGUCACCGCCCAUCUCCCGCCUGCAGAGACCACCUGCUAUCUUCCAUCGCUGGCAGAAGCCGGCCAUAGUGCUCGCAUGUAAGGACUUGUUUAGGGUAGAGGAGCGAAGCACCCGCUUACACUGAGAAGGAUCUGAUGGGCUCGAACAAGACGAUGAGCAAAGGUGGUGGCGUGAUUGCUUCUCCUUGUGCACAACUCCGGGCCACCUACCAUGACUGCUUUAAUCGGUGGUAUUCGGAGAAGUUUUCAAAGGGUCAAUGGGACAAAGAGGAGUGCAUCGCCGAGUGGGACAAAUAUAGAGCUUGUCUCGAGCAAUAUUUGGAAGACAAACACCUGAGGCAUGCUCUCUUGGAAGCGGAUUCCUCUCCUUACUUUGUUAAAGACGGUGCAGGAUCGUCUAAUAGUGUGAACACUUGAGCACAUUGAUUACAUUGUGUUCAAAAGGUUGAUGCUGUCAGGAGGGAG